rnacentral:rRNA from 1 species
UACGGAGGGAGCUAGCGUUGUUCGGAAUUAUUGGGCGUAAAGAGCUCGUAGGCGGUUUGUCGCGUCUGCUGUGAAAACUCAGGGCUUAACCCUGAGCCUGCAGUGGGUACGGGCAGACUAGAGUGUGGUAGGGGAGAUCGGAAUUCCUGGUGUAGCGGUGAAAUGCGUAGAUAUCGGGAGGAACACCUGUGGCGAAAGCGGCUCACUGGACCACAACUGACGCUGAUGCACGAAAGCUAGGGGAGCAAACAGG